rnacentral:rRNA from 1 species
GAUGAACGCUAGCGGCAGGCUUAACACAUGCAAGUCGAGGGGUAUUGGUUUUCGGACCAAGAGACCGGCGCACGGGUGCGUAACGCGUAUGCAAUCUACCUUUUGCAGAGGGAUAGCCCCAGAGAAACUUGGAUUAAUACCUCAUAGUAUAGUACUUUGGCAUCAAGGAACUAUUAAAGUCACAACGGCAAAGAUGAGCAUGCGUCCCAUUAGCUAGUUGGUAAGGUAACGGCUUACCAAGGCUACGAUGGGUAGGGGUCCUGAGAGGGAGAUCCCCCACACUGGUACUGAGACACGGACCAGACUCCUACGGGAGGCAGCAGUGAGGAAUAUUGGACAAUGGGCGCAAGCCUGAUCCAGCCAUGCCGCGUGCAGGAUGACGGUCCUAUGGAUUGUAAACUGCUUUUAUACAGGAAGAAACACUACUUCGUGAAGUAGCUUGACGGUACUGUAAGAAUAAGGAUCGGCUAACUCCGUGCCAGCAGCCGCGG